AAAAGCUGGAGUAACUCAGCGGAUCAGACGGCAUCUCUGGAGAAAAGGAAUAGCUACAAAAUCUCACCUGCAACCAAACCUGACGAUAUUGUGGCAACAACUGGAGUCUUCGUCUUAGAAUUGAUGCGGGCUAAAACUUUGAAAAGCAACCCAUCUUCAGCCAUAGCAUAGAUUACGCGAGGCAUGGGGAAAAUGGAACCAAGCAGACUGAAUGAAGAGGAAAGACAUGCACAAUGCUGCAAGUCAGAGUCACACCAGGUUUUCCAUGACCACAUUUCACAGGAUGCAAUGCCAUAAGAAGAAUGUAGUUGUGCUGGAGAAAAUGCAAAGGAAAUUCACUGGAAUGGUGCCUGGAUUGGAGGGCUUUUGUUAUGAGGAUUGAAUAGACUGGGCUUGUUUACCCUGGGGUGAAUGAGCCAGAGGAAUACCCUGUUAGUUGUAUAUUAAAUAAAAUGAGGCAUAGAUAGGGUAAAUAGUCUUCUCAUAGUAAGGAUAUCAAAAACAAGAUGAAAGCUGUCGGGGGAUCUGAGGGGAAAAAUGUAUUCAUACAGUGUUUGAUAUCUGAAAUGUGCUACCAGAGGAGGUGGUGGUAUUAGACGCAAUAACAAUGUUUAAGAGCCAUUUAUAUAGGCACUUAAAUGGGCAAAACAUAGCAGGAUAUGGACUCCCCGCAGGAAAAUGGCAUUGGUGUAGAUGGGCAAAAAGAUCGGCAUUGACAUUGAGGGCCCCAUUUCUGUUUUGCAUUAUUCAAUGACUCUAUAAGGAGUCUAAUUGGACCAGUGUCUGCGCUAACUCUUUUUUAGACUAGCCCAAAAGUAAUCCUACAAUCUACUCUGCCAUCGUACAUUCCUUUUCAACUAUUUACACAAUUUUCCCUUAAAGGAUUUUUCCAUCAAGUUCCUAUGCCAAAGCCAACAACUGUCAAUCGACAUCCCUCCUUCCUGUCAAUGACCCAUUUUAUUCCUAUUCAGUUGCAUCAAGACUCCUACUAAUUUAAAACAUCCAUUAAAUCUCCUUAAUAAACUUACCU